rnacentral:rRNA from 1 species
GGUGGAGCUUGGUCCCCGCUGACGAGCGGCGGAUGGGUGAGUAAUGCUUAGGAAACUGCCCAGUAGUGGGGGAUAGCCCGGGGAAACCCGGAUUAAUACCGCGUACGCCCUUCGGGGGAAAGCAGGGGCUCUUCGGACCUUGCGCUAUUGGAUGUGCCUAAGUCGGAUUAGCUAGUUGGUGGGGUAAAGGCCUACCAAGGCGACGAUCCGUAGCUGGUCUGAGAGGAUGAUCAGCCACAUCGGGACUGAGACACGGCCCGAACUCCUACGGGAGGCAGCAGUGGGGAAUAUUGGACAAUGGGGGCAACCCUGAUCCAGCCAUGCCGCGUGUGUGAAGAAGGCUUUCGGGUUGUAAAGCACUUUCAGUGAGGAGGAAGGCUGUAAGGUUAAUACCCUUGCAGAUUGACGUUACUCACAGAAGAAGCACCGGCUAACUGCGUGCCAGCAGCCGCGGUAAUACGGAGGGUGCAAGCGUUAAUCGGAAUUACUGGGCGUAAAGCGCGCGUAGGUGGUUUGAUAAGCGAGAUGUGAAAGCCCCGGGCUU